CAUCAACGUGAGCAGAGGGCGAAAGCUGGGAAUCAUUACAUGGCACAACAGAAGGCAAAACAUUCACCUGGAGAAGGCAAUUAGCUCAGCAGGUCUUUUAGUGUCAUUAAGGGAUUAUUGUCCUGUUAUUACAUGUCCCAUCAUUAAGGGAUUAUUGUCUCAGUGGUUCCUUGACCUCCUGGGCAUGGCUGGAUGGUGUCACAUCAGACCCCAUAGAAGGUGUUGUUAGGGUGGGUGGGGUAGUGUGAGUUGUCCUCUCUUUCAGAGACCACCAGCAAGGCAAAUUGUUGCGUUAGGGAUGUGACCAAUUGGUUUGGAGGUGUCCAAGGCCAAGUUGAAUGGGAAACCUCAUCCAGUGCUUGAUGAGCAGUCUGCAACCCUGCCUACGGCAUGGAGAUUGGAAGUGGACAGUCUCUGGGGUCCCUUCCAACACAAGCCAUUCUAUGAUUUCUUGCCCACGUGGUCCUAUGGGCAUCCCAGUGACCAUAUAUAGCCAACUCUCUGCUCUCCACCUCCUAUAAAAGAUGCUGGCUGCUGGUUUCCGUGCUGCCAGCCGUCCCGGAGCUGUGCGUUCUGCAUUUCCCUUUUAGGAAGCAAGAUUCUUGGACAUGGGGCAGUAAAAAGAAAACAUCUCUCAGCUCUUAUUUAUCACCUCUCCUUAUAACUGACCACUCUCUAAAUAGAGGGACCGCUUGCAGCCCAGGAGUGCAGCACAACGGAGCCAGAGGUGCCUUUGGCCCCUGCUGUCCUGGAUGGACUUCCAUGCAGAUCUCCCCACCUCGCUGCUAUUUAUGGGGUCAGCUCCAGGCAAGGAACCCAGCUGAAGUCCUGGUGCUUACUGCUCACCGGCCAAGCCAAACAGCGGAGUGAUGCAAUAUUGCACAAACUUUCCAGCCAGGGAAAUUAAUCUUUGCAAUAGAGGAAAAAAAAAAAAAGAAAGCAGUGAGCACAGAAGACAGCUCAGGGCGUCUGUCUUGGAGGGGAUGUCUGUUAAAUGGGCUCAGCACAUGCUGUUCUGGCUGCUUCCGCUGAACUCUGCUGCUGGCGAGCCUCAAUGAUUCUAUGAACUUCCAUCAGCCCCGAGGCAAAAGUAGUGCCUGGGUUUUGCGUUCCCUCCAGAAGAGCCCAACCUCUUUGUUUCAGGGACAACACAUCUGGGAUCCAACAGCAGCCAUUGUUCUCUGAUGUUCAGCUCAUCACAUAAUGAGAUCCCA
ensembl:lncRNA